GGGGGCCCGCAAGCGGUGGAGCAUGUGGUUUAAUUCGAUGCAACGCGAAGAACCUUACCUACUCUUGACAUCCAGAGAACUUAGCAGAGAUGCUUUGGUGCCUUCGGGAACUCUGAGACAGGUGCUGCAUGGCUGACGUCAGCUCGUGUUGUGAAAUGUUGGGUUAAGUCCCGCAACGAGCGCAACCCUUAUCCUUUGUUGCCAUCGGUUCGGCCGGGAACUCAAAGGAGACUGCCAGUGAUAAACUGGAGGAAGGUGGGGAUGACGUCAAGUCAUCAUGGCCCUUACGAGUAGGGCUACACACGUGCUACAAUGGCCUAUACAAAGAGAAGCGACCUCGCGAGAGCAAGCGGACCUCAUAAAGUACGUCGUAGUCCGGAUUGGAGUCUGCAACUCGACUCCAUGAAGUCGGAAUCGCUAGUAAUCGUAGAUCAGAAUGCUACGGUGAAUACGUUCCCGGGCCUUGUACACACC
rnacentral:rRNA from 1 species